CUCUCUUAAUACAAACAUUAGUAAAAAUCCAAGAAAUUGACAAGCGACUAACUUGAAUCUAAGAACCAACAUCAAACUCUCAACAACAAAAAAAAAAACCCAGCAGCAAUUCAUCGUUUACCAUGUCAACAACAUGAGAAGGCUAAUAUAACAUGUAUAAGAUUGAACUAUUACAAAAUACUAAAGAAAUGGAAGAAACAGAAGAAAAUAAAACACAAUAAUGACUUGUAUUCAAUCAUGUUUCCAUUCGAAGUACAUGUUCACACUUCACUUGUUGUCCAUGGUUUAAAAGAUACUUGGAAUUCAAAGGAAAAAUCAGAGGGAAUGAAGGAUUAGCAGCAACAGCAGAUCAGCUCAGCAAACUCAACAAAUUCAAAUCCUUUCAAGUCAUUGUUGAACCUAGAUCAAGCAAGAGGUUUUGAGGUGUUAAAAUGACUCUAAUAGUAUAUUUCACAGUGUAAUUCCAAGCAGUUUUGACCAAGAAUAGCGCAAAGAGUUUUUUAGUCUUUUAGGGUGUGUGUCCGUGUGUGCUGAAUGAGGGGAGGGUCUUAUUUAUACAACAGAAAAUUUGUUGUUGCCUUCCAAGGCAAGGAAAUGAUAUUUUUCCAGGAUACCCUCAUAGGGCAUCUUUUAAAACUGAUUUUGUACAAUUGUCCCUUUCCUUUCCUUUCAGAUAUUUUUAUUUUUCAGCCUGUUUUUCCCUAACAAUGUUGGGCAACUGUCCAUUUAGGAAGCUUCCCAAUCAGUUACUAAAGAUUUUCUAGGUUAAACAAUUCCCAAACCACCCCUAAAGUUCAUAAUUAUUCAAUUAUCCCCUAAAGUUCUGAAUACUUACAAACAUAACAAACAGAAAACAAGCGAGCUAAUACCUUUAGAUGCAAUGAAAAGAAAUGAACUUCAACACUAGGAAUGCAUCUAACAACUGGUGAAUCAUAUUAAUUCAUGAAGAACUAGUCUACUACAAGAACCCUAAAUGGAACUUUCAGAAAUGCUAGAAAACUAAUGACUUCCAGAACAUACUCGAAUAAACCACAACAAAUACAAUUGAACCUUGAAUUAAACCUAGACCAUUCUCAUAUAAGUAUAAACUCAGAAAAUACCAUGGGAAUAAGAAUUAAUGCAAACGAUGAACCACACUGACUAUCAUUAAUGCUUAAGCUCCGAAAUCAAUUAACAAAUAUAAAAUGAAACCCAAAACUAUUGAUUAACCAGCAGAAAUUAAAAGAGUAGAAAGAAUGAAGACCUAAUAAAUCAUAAAUUGAAACCAACCUAAACGAAACCCCUAUGAAACCGAUUAUUAUUAACAAUUAGGCACAUAAACUAGCUAACAAACCUAAAGCCAAAAACCUAAGUUAGGCAAUCUGACAAGAACCAAAACUUGUGAAGAAAGAAACUGGAAGAAGAAGAGGAGAAGAUCAGAGGGAAACCAAUGACACAAAGUAGAAGAAAAUUACCCCAAACCUACUUCAGGCAGAACCCCGUAUGAACUCGAAUAGCCUCUUUGCAGAAGAAAAUGAACCUUUGCUUGUCAUUAAUCGAUUUUCCUUAACAAGGGCAAUCAAUUAAUGACUGUUUGGGGCUCACUCGACCUUGUACUGACCCAGAAAAGAACAAAGGGCAAAAUCUAGGGCUUUCCAGACCCUUGCUUCAACAUUGACGGGCUGAUUUGAUAGGAAACAAGACAUAUUUGGGGAAAGAAAAGGGGUGAGGGGUUGCAUGGUGUAAAUUUGGGUAGAUUUGAGGAUUUGGGGUGUCAAAGUUUGAUCUGAAAUUCGAGACAAUUGAGAGGGAUUCGAGGAACAUGGCUUGGAUUUUGUGAAAGAAGAGGUGAAAGGGAUUCUAAGGUGUAGUUUUGAGGUGGAUUAGGGAUGCGCCGCCGACGAAUAUGGCGGGGGUUUUUGGGGCGGCAGACCCUAUGGUUUCUUUGAUGGAGACGACGAUGGAGAGGGAAUGGGUUCAGACAG
rnacentral:lncRNA from 1 species